AGCAGGAUCAGAGCGUCCACAUCUGCUUCUGGCUAACUCAGCAGGAGCACUUAUUACCUGAUGAAUGAAUGAAUGAAUGAAAAAAUGAAUGAAUAGAUCAAUCACAGAGACCAAACGAUGCCAUUUACAACCAGAAAAAAAGAUGCUAUGUGGGGUCAAAUGGCCACACAAGUAUUAGCCCGAUUUAAGUGGCUGCAAAUUCAGAACAAACUGAAGAUACAUGAUGGUUUUACUCAGUGUUUUCUUCUUAUUCUGCAGUUUUAAUAUAAAUGAGUAUAUAGACAUGGAGUAAAUAAUAUCGUGUACAAGCUUGCUGAGCCAAAAUCAGCAACUUUAGAUAUAUGUCUUUGGAAGCAGAGGCUUUCUGAAAGUCACAGGAUUGAAACUCCAGAUUUUUAACAGAUUUUUCCUUGAAACACUUCAGCGCAGCACUCAGGGUCUACUGUAAGUCAUAAAAAGUGCAGAAGCUUGGCAAAACUUGGACUUCAGCUGCUGGUGCAGUGCAGAUAGCUCGAGCCAUUAACCCACACAAGCACAUCUGUGGAGCAGCUUGUACCUUAAUGACUGUCAGAGUUAGUGCUUGCUGUGUAGGGCUUUUGAAAGGGUACCAGGUUGUAGGGACCCAAAAGUCCGAGCCAAUUGUGACAGAGGGUAAAAACAGAUCUUAAUCAACGCACACAUUUCUCCGCUCCACAUCUGCUUUAUCACAGCUGGCCUGUUGCUGUGAUUUAGAGUGUGAAACACCUGCAGGUGUUGUUCCACUUACUGUGCUGGAGGAAUCAUGUCCCAUGUGAUCAGGAAGUGAAAUAACAGAGGUCAAAAGUCCUACUGUGCAGGGCCAGCUUUGCACCCAGAGCCUGUGUAAUGUGCAGAUUGUUUUUGUACAACUUCAACGAAACGUAAUACAAGCAUAAAAAUCAUGUUUUGUAGGUGGAAACUCUUAGUUCCAGGAAAUAUGCAUCCAAAGCUCUGAUGGUUCUCUCCGCAUUUUUAUGAGCUCCUUCAAUCUAAAAAUGAGGAAUGAGGAAGUAAAAGGCGUUUCAAGCUACGCUGCUCCCAUCCAACCACAAACUAUCAAACGCAACCCUCAAACUGCUCCGUCCACUGACUCUCGACACUUAUCAUGAUGUGAUGCACAGCGUCUGAACAUUUUCAUCAUCCCACUAUUUUUGUCAUCUUUGAGUUUGUGACAAUGGCCUUGGUAUUUCAAAACCUGAUAUUAUCGCAGCUUGCUUGAAAUUGUAAUUUUCUCUCUCCGACUGUGCCUCCUAUUGCAUCUCUCGUUGUCUGAGCUGAGGUUUCUGUUUCAGUUAUCUUUGCUGUAGUUUUUCAAGUGAGGACAAUGAAAUAUUCUGUUUGAUUUUGAGCUGUGUGAGAGAAAGAAGAGGCUCUGCAAAGCUUAGUCAUCAGUAAUUUGGUCUGACUCACAGGCUGUGCAUAUAAGUCUGCUAUUGGCUUCUUCUUUUAGAUGGAGUAUCUGUGUGUAAACAAGGUCAAAAACUUGUUUUCUGGGUGAAACAACAGCUUUGGAUACAUGAUAAAGAUUUGUACAAAGCAAUAAGUUAGGCUUGACAUAUUUUUCUGUUUUGUGCAGCUUCUACAUAGAGCUGGGCGAUAUGGCCUCAAAUCAAUAUCACAAUAUAUUGAGCAGUUCACCUGGAUUACCUGGAUGGACGAUAACUACUCCACAAGCUGCUCACCCCCUCCCACAUUAACUUCGUCUACUUCAGCCGCUACAACUUUUGAACCAUCCUCCAUCUCCUCACCUGUCUUUCCCUCUUUGUUACAGACUGGAUGGGGUGGAGUCACGCCUCCGACAUAGGACGAGUGUCUUAAAGGGACAUGAGACCAUAGUCUACCUACACACAUCCAAAAACGAACUGUUAUUUAUUUAUUUAUUUGACACUGAAUAUACGGAUAUGGGAAAAAUGGCAUCGGUUAUUGUCGUAAAUUUUGGUAUCGGUACAUUUUCAGUUUCUCGCCCAGCCCUACUUCUACAAUUGUGUAAAUUUUGCCCCCACCCUUAAAGCAAAUGCCAACAUAAGCUCAUGUCCCCAACAUUUACUGUGGGCUUUAUCUACGUUGAUAUGUUGUUUCAUAACUACUGAAGCCCUGACUUAACAAGUCAUUGCAAAACUUUUCAACUAUUUAUUCAUUCAUUCAUUUACAUGACUUUGAAACACCCUGUGAGUGUUUUCUUUUGGCAGCGGACAUCGCUGUUUACAGACUGGUCAAACUGAAGAGAGAGAUUUUGGUCAGUACCAAGCAGUUUGUCUCACGGCUGUUUAGAAACUUUCCAAUGCUGGCAAUGUCCCAUAAAAUCAGCAUAUGCUGUGAAUCAAGAUCAAGUGAAAUCUGGAUGUUUGGCUGUAUUUUAGAUGUUCUGGCUUUUGCAGAUUGAGUUUCAUUUUUGUCAAGAGGCGCAAAAUCAAUAUUUAAUUCAGAUAGUUUGAGUUCUACCAGUUUUUUCAGUCAGUAAAAGAAGCCAGCUCUUGAAAGAGGUUGAUGUGAGUGUGUUUUGAUUUAUAUCAAACUUGUGUUUACAGUUUUAUUUCUGACAGAUCUCAGACCUCUUCAUAAGUCAGUCUUAAUUCAUGGUUUGAGAAAUCGCAGGAAACUAUAAUGAACGAGAUUGCAAAAUUGGAGACUUGCAAAACAGAGAAUUGCAUGACAAAGUGAGUAAACAGUACACAGAGACUAAACAGCUGCCCUUUUCGUGCGUUUCCUGACCGCAGCCUCUGUGCGCCAACCAAAGGUAGCAUUCAUGAAAACAAAAUUAACAACUUUAACACAUCAGUGGAAACGCCAAGAAGCCCUUGUGGGAUUUACGAUCCUUAAAUUGCCCCUUCGGUUUAUUUGCGGCCUCUGACUUGUCGUCUCUCUGAUUAUGCAGGUGAAUUUAAUUGGAAACAUCACAGCGAUGGUAAAGCCUGUGUUUUCUUUGUCCACCAUUCUCACGCCACAUAACAAAGGCGUUGUGUUCGCAGCAGUUCUCAGUGAAGAGGAGAAAAUCUACUUUGAAAAUAAAAAUAAAUUAUGUUUUUUGUGUUUCUUUUCAUGUGUGAAGAUAUUACUCUCCACAGCCGUGCCGGACUUGAUUUAAAUAAUAGAAAAUCUCCUGACAGCUGUUUAUUCUCCAAAUGAAAGCCUUCAAAAAUGGAACAAAGCUUCUUUUUUGCAGCAGAGAUUCAAUUGAAGACAUGUCUGUCAAUCAAAAUAACAUUUCAUGUCAUUAGGGUUUUAAUUUUUCUUUCUUUACUCACACUGAAUCUUAUUUACUACCUCUGUUAUCUGAUCCCUUGUAGAAUAAACUUUUGAUUACUCCUAUAAAUAUUUAUUUUUCUCGGUUAUUUGUUGUCUUUUCUCACAUCCUACAAUCGACAUGAACAGCAUCUAAGGGUCCAUUAUGAUGAUGAAUUGCUCUUUCACUCAGAGAGCAUUGAUUGAACCACCAACUGGGAAGAAAAAGGUUGACAGACUGUGUGAGCAGCCGGCACAUUAAAGACACGAUAACAAUUACUUCCAUAUGUUCUAAUGUAAAAACCGAGCGCUGUUUGUAAUUCCCAUGGAGUUAGGAUGCAGGCAGCACCACUUCUCCUUGUUUUUCUGGAUGCCUCUGUCUCACUUCUGUACUCUUGUUUGCUGCUGCAGAACACAGGGGACUAUGUGAGGAUGAAUUCCCCUCCCAACAUCUGGAAGCGUGCUUAAUGAUCAUUAAAAACUCGAUGAACUAUUCUCUCAAAUGACAGGGGGAGGGUUACUAUGUGGUUUAAGUCUCACGCUCCCUUCAAAUGCAUACGCCGGCUUUGUGACAUACAGCGCAGUCUCAGAGGAGACCCCGCCUGAGACCUUUAAAAUUUAAUUUGGUCUUGUUCUAAAUUUAUAGGCGACACUAAAUUUACAUUCUCCUGUGUGAGAAUUUCUUUCAAUUUCUAUCCGAGGGUGAGAGCAGAGGGAGCUUGACAACUGGCGUAAACCCUUCACAGCUGUGCUUGUUAAAACAAAAAGGUUAUGAAGCUAAAUCUGUGAUGUUUAACACAUUAACAUGGGAGACUUGGUAAUUAAGGAUUUGAGUAACUGUAGCUUGCAUAAUGCUCAUAAAGGUAAAAGCUGCAUACAUUUAAUUUAACUUACACUCCAAAACACAAAACAACUGUAUUUAAAAUGGAGACCUUUGUACAAGCAGGCUGUUUGUGGCCCAUGAAUAAUGUGGAGGUCAAAGGUACGGGGGCUAAAGGAUGUUGAGUCAGUCACUCUGUUCAAUUGGUAAGUCAAAACAUACCCUUUCAAUUAUUCACUCACCAAACUGGAACUCAAGUGGCUGGACGACCAUGGAAAUAUGUAGGCUUGAGUUAAACAGAACAGCAACACCUACAUUUCUGUGACCUCAAAGCACCCCCCUCUGCGAUAAUGUAUGAGUGAACUAAUGAUCUGAUGCACUAUAGUCCAAAUCACAGAGCUCUGUUCGGUCAGAAUCUGUGGUAUCAACUUUAGACUUUUUUAUUUACUUUGUAUUUGAAUGGGAGGAGAUGGGAAAGUUUAAGGGAUAUUCAAGCGUGAAAUUAAUUUAGGGUCAAACACACUGAAACACCGAAUUAGACACCCCCUCGAGAGAUGAAUGUUGCCGACUACUUGCUUCUUUAGUUAUACCAACUUUAGUAACGGCCACACAAUAGCAAUACACAGCGGUCUGAGGAGCGAUAAACAAGCCUCAACCAAAAUGCCACUCUAUAGCCACAAAUAAUACUCAAAACAGCACCUAACUCCAUCAACAGGACAUGUAGGAUCCCAGCCAUAGCACUAGCCACCAAACAUCUUAUUAGCUUUGCCUGAUUUCUUUAGCAAAGAGACUAAACACAACUCACAUACUCUCUUCCAGCAGCUGCUUGUUUGUAGCAAGACCUCGACCAGUCCAUUAAGGACUGCUGCGGGGUGACACAGCUCAAGGAAGAACAUUUAUGAUCAUUACUUUAUCAUUUCCUUGAAGUAAUAAUCAUCAUAUUGAUCAUUUUGCACUGCAGACGCGGUAGUUCUUCUGCCUUAGCAUCUCAGGUCUGAUUGCAUUUCCAUGAAGGUCGGCAAAAUUCAUCUCUCUAGGGGGUGUCUACCUCAGUGUUGCAGUGUGUUUGACCCUGGAUUAAUUUUACACCGGUAUAUACCUUUAAUAUUCAAGGCUUCUUGAGCACCUUUGCCACAUCUAAAUGGAUUUACCAACAAAAUAAACAACUUGAUGCAAGAAAACAAGCAAUAAAAGAUGUAAUGUUUCCCAUGUAACUUCUAUGGGACUGAUUUUCAACACAUGUCUGAUGGCCCAGACACUAUUUGGAAGCCUUAAAAAGCACCGUCCCGCUAUAAUACCCACAUGGUAUUUCAUCAUACUUCAAGAUUUAUUAAGACUGGCGAGAUCUGCAGCGUUUGCUGACACCUAAACAUAUUUAAUAUGUAUUCACAUGGUGCAACACCUCGUCCAAAGUAGCGUUCAAGGAUUUUGGCAGGAGGAUCAAAAGCAGAGCACAUGUCUUGCCAGUCCAAUAACAUUAGACAUGUUGAUUUGUGGAUUAAAGGGGAAAGAUGAAUAGCCUAUCUUAAUCAUUUUGUUGACUUUGAUCCUCAGGAUGCGGUAAUAAAACGCAGUCAUGUGCAAAGGCUGGAAAUAGAAAGGAGUGGAAGUCUAUGGAAGGAGGAGUAUAAGGAGGUCCUUUUAUUAUGAAAUUUUAGGUGUUUGGUAAAUGUCACUUGCAGGCAAUCAGCAAAUCAAUGGAGAAAAUGAAUUAGUUUAUUGCAGGAACUCAUUAUGAGUGGAUGUAAGGAGUGGGCCGUCCUGUUCAGAGCGUGAGUAAUUACAGAAACAACUUUAACAUUUGGAGUGCAUGUGCAAUCCUCUGCAUCCUGAUUGAAACAAAUGAGGCAAAUAAUUGGAGUAGUGAGUUUACUCGGAAGAGCUCUAUCUCUCGGCUCAAAACAAACGACUGUAUUGAUACUGUUGGAUUUCAAGAGAUAGUCCAUUACAAUCAAUGCUACGGGCAGGACAAAAUAGUCCUCCUUCAAUGUAGUAUUAGUCACAGAAUCUAAGAGAGGAGUCAGAGCCCCAGAGGAGUUUCCAAAGAGGAGUAGGGGAGAGUGGGGUAAGAUGAGCCAUUUCUCAUAUUUCUGAUCACUACAUCAAGUCAAUCACAGUUUUGUCUCUAACUAGUGUAUCUGCAUAUAUUUCAAGAUGUUGUGCAUCCCUGCAAACCAACAGAAUGAGUGUAAACAUAACUGUCUUGAUAAUAUAGCAUGCCAAAAAAAGUGGUCUCCUAUGGUCAACUUACCCC